UACGUAGGGAGCAAGCGUUGUUCGGAUUUACUGGGCGUAAAGGGCGCGUAGGCGGCAAUUCAAGUCAUCUGUGAAAUCUCCGGGCUUAACUCGGAACGGUCAGAUGAUACUGCUUUGCUAGAGUGCGGAAGGGGCAAUCGGAAUUCUCGGUGUAGCGGUGAAAUACGUAGAUAUCGAGAGGAACACCUGAGGUGAAGACGGGUUGCUGGGCCAACACUGACGCUGAGGCGCGAAAGCUAGGGUAGCAAACGGG
rnacentral:rRNA from 1 species